UUUGUUAUUAUAAACUCUUCAUAAACAUCUCCAAUUUCCACAUGACAUUGAGUUGACAUAGAUAAUUUACUUAAUUAUUCAUUUGCUGUUAGAUACUAAAGUCAUCACUCAUUUUUUAAAGGAAACAUUAUUAUUAAACAAAUUUCUUUAAGAACAUUCCCAGAUAAAAUACAGCUAUCCUAGGAACAUAGAAAAUUACUGAAAUGCUAUUUGUUUCUAAAAAGUCAUGCAACACCCAAUUGAGAAAUGAGAAGGACCUCCUUCACAAUAUUUGUACACAGAUAAAGACUCAGACACGUAAUAAAACCAAUUUCAACUAAUAUGUGAGAGAAUAUCACUUUCCAGAAAGUAGAACAAUUAACUCCUAUUUAUUCAUAGAUAAAUAACCCCCAAAUGAUAAACCUCUAUUCGUUCAUAGAUAAACAGAAGUCAGAGUUGAUUUUAUGUCCAUCAUCUGUGGCAAAGUCAACAGAAAGUAUCUGCAAAGUUCUUCUUUGUACCAAUGUUACCCUAACUGAAACCCUGUAUUUCAACUGUUUUGGAUAUAAAAUUAACCUUAAACCAGAUUAAAGUAUCAUGUUAGCAUAUGGGGUUAGCUCAGUAGCUAAGAAGCUGUUAUAUAAGUUUAUUCAAGGUUUGAUGCCUUUUUGUCGGUCUCUCUGCAAAGGAAAAUACUAAAAACGGAACUGGCACUGCAAUUAUGACUAUCUCCAACUAAAGCCUAAAAAAAGGCUGCAACGUAUUCCAGCGAUUUUCAACCGGUGUUCCGCAAGAAUUUCUAAAACACGCAAUACCUGACCUCUUUUCCCUUAGGUUGU